CCCGAUGACCCAUAGUGCUGUGGUUCUACCUGAUUCCAUACCGAACUCAGAAGUAAAACGCAGUAACGUCGAUGGUAGUGUGGUGAUUCGCCAUGUGAGAGUAGAGCAUCGUCGGGU
rnacentral:rRNA from 1 species